rnacentral:rRNA from 1 species
UACGAAGGGGGCUAGCGUUGCUCGGAAUCACUGGGCGUAAAGCGCACGUAGGCGGAUUGUUAAGUCAGGGGUGAAAUCCUGGAGCUCAACUCCAGAACUGCCUUUGAUACUGGCGAUCUCGAGUCCGGGAGAGGUGAGUGGAACUGCGAGUGUAGAGGUGAAAUUCGUAGAUAUUCGCAAGAACACCAGUGGCGAAGGCGGCUCACUGGCCCGGUACUGACGCUGAGGUG